rnacentral:rRNA from 1 species
GACGAACGCUGGCGGCGUGCUUAACACAUGCAAGUCGAACGGGAGGGAAAGAGAAGCUUGCUUCUUUUUGAAUCUAGUGGCAAACGGGUGAGUAACACGUAAACAACCUGCCUUCAGGAUGGGGACAACAGACGGAAACGACUGCUAAUACCGAAUGUGUUCCGGAGACCGCAUGAUUUCCGGAAGAAAGGAUGGCCUCUAUUUAUAAGCUAUCGCCUGAAGAGGGGUUUGCGUCUGAUUAGGCAGUUGGUGAGGUAACGGCCCACCAACCUACGAUCAGUAGCCGGUCUGAGAGGAUGAACGGCCACAC